rnacentral:rRNA from 1 species
UACGGGGGGGGCAAGCGUUGUUCGGAAUUACUGGGCGUAAAGAGCUCGUAGGCGGCUCAGUAAGUCGGAUGUGAAAACUCGGGGCUCAACCCCGAGACGCCAUCCGAUACUGCUGUGGCUUGAGUCUGGUAGGGGAACACGGAAUUCCUGGUGUAGCGGUGAAAUGCGCAGAUAUCAGGAGGAACACCGGUGGCGAAGGCGGGUCUCUGGGCAGUAACUGACGCUGAGGAGCGAAAGCGUGGGGAGCAAACAGG